CGGACAACAGUACAUGAGACUCCAGUUGCUUAUUUGCUGAAUUUUUAUGUUACUGUCUGAGAAGAUUUGAAGGGUGGACCUCUACUUGUCCCUUUGCUUCAACUACAGGCAGGAAAGUGCUUCGGCAUCUCACUCAGAUUCUUCAAAAGCACCACUGUCUUAACAUAGUUUGUGGUUGCAUCAUCAUCUUCCAUAGCACAUUAAUUCCUAGAGAUUCAGUGGAUCUCAAAUGGAAGAGUACUACUCUAUGUUACUGCAGGCCUGAGCUGGGGAUGUUAUUGCUUAAUAUAGGUAAUUUAAUAUUGUGAAUUACAUUAAAGAUAUCUUGAGACAAUCAUUUAAGGAGAAGUUUGUGUAAUAACAUUUAUCAAUGUAUUCUGCAAUAUUAAAGAAGAGGCAUAUUUUGAAUUAUUAAGCUAUAUUUCUCUUUUGAGAUGUAAAUCAAGUGAAUUUUCACUUCAAAUAAAUCUCCAAAACCUCAAGGGCUUCUUGCUUCCUCCUGUACUUCUCCCAAUUCAAUUGCAUUCUUGAUUACCCUCCAAAAUCUAUUCAUUUAUGCUGAUUGUUAAAUAUCCUCUCCCAAUUUCCACUAACUACAUCAUUAUCAGCCUUACAGCAGCAGGACCAUUUAUCCUGUCCUUUAUUGUGCUCUCAUAUUACCAUCCCUCCUCUCUUCUGAACACUGACCUUGACCUUCUCCACAAGUCCUCUGUCUUUUCUACUGUCAAAACCUCCUUCACUGUUUAUUUCUACUUGAUCUGAUUUUGACUGGAUUUAACCAAACAUCUGCUAGGUGUCAGGUGAUCAACAGUAAACCUGAAGAUUUCAUUUUAAUGAACCUUCAAAAGUUUUUUAGUCCUUUGAGAGUGUAUUCUGUGGUGAUGAUGUGAGAAAGCAAGAACAUUUGUUUGGAUUUUUUUUUUUUCAAUUUUUUUAUAUGGCUUUAUAUAGAAUUUGGAAUAAAAAAUGUUAAGAGGGGAAAAUGUGAUCAAUUUUCUAAGGUAAAGAAGUGAAAGCAGAAGGAC